CCUACGGGUGGCAGCAGUGAGGAAUAUUGGUCAAUGGGCGAGAGCCUGAACCAGCCAAGUCGCGUGAGGGAGUACUGCCCUAUGGGUUGUAAACCUCUUUUGUCGGGGAGCAAAAGCCGGACGUGUCCGGCUGUGAGAGUACCCGAAGAAAAAGCAUCGGCUAACUCCGUGCCAGCAGCCACGGUAAUACGGAGGAUGCGAGCGUUAUCCGGAUUUAUUGGGUUUAAAGGGUGCGCAGGCGGAUUUUUAAGUCAGCGGUAAAAUCGUGGGGCGCAACCCCAUCCAGCCGUUGAAACUGGGGAUCUAGAGUGUGCGAGAGGUAUGCGGAAUGCGUGGUGUAGCGGUGAAAUGCAUAGAUAUCACGCAGAACCCCGAUUGCGAAGGCAGCAUACCGGUGCACAACUGACGCUCAGGCACGAAAGCGUGGGUAUCGAACAGGAUUAGAUACCCGGGUAGUC
rnacentral:rRNA from 1 species